rnacentral:rRNA from 1 species
CCUACGUGUGGCAGCAGUGGGGAAUAUUGCGCAAUGGGCGAAAGCCUGACGCAGCGACGCCGCGUGAGGGAUGAAGGUCUUCGGAUCGUAAACCUCUGUCAGCAGGGAAGAACGGUCACUGUGCUAAUCAGCAGUGAAUUGACGGUACCUGCAAAGGCAGCACCGGCUAACUCCGUGCCAGCAGCCGAGGUAAUACGGAGGGUGCGAGCGUUAAUCGGAAUUACUGGGAGUAAAGCGCUCGUAGGCGGUAUGUCAAGUCAAGGGUGAAAUCCCCGCGCUCAACGUGGGAACUGCCUUUGAAGCUGGCAAACUGGAGUGUGUGAGAGGAUAGUGGAAUUCCAGGUGUAGGAGUGAAAUCCGUAGAUAUCUGGAGGAACAUCAGUGGCGAAGGCGACUAUCUGGCACAUAACUGACGCUGAGGAGCGAAAGCGUGGGUAGCAAACAGGAUUAGAUACCCCGGUAGUC